UAGGGAAUAUUGCGCAAUGGAGGAAACUCUGACGCAGCGACGCCGCGUGGGUGAUGAAGGCCUUCGGGUCGUAAAGCCCUGUCGGAAGGGACGAAAAUUGGUAUGGCUAACAUCCAUGCCACUUGACGGUACCUUUAGAGGAAGCACCGGCUAACUACGUGCCAGCAGCCGCGGUAAUACGUAGGGUGCAAGCGUUGUUCGGAAUCAUUGGGCGUAAAGCGCGUGUAGGUGGUUAGGUAAGUCGGGUGUGAAAUCCCUGGGCUCAACCGAGGAAGUGCAUCCGAAACUGCUUAGCUAGAGGACGGUAGAGGAAGGUGGAAUUCCUAGUGUAGAGGUGAAAUUCGUAGAUAUUAGGAGGAAUACCUGUGGCGAAGGCGGCCUUCUGGGCCGGUUCUGACACUGAGACGCGAAAGCGUGGGUAGCAAACAGGAUUAGAUACCCCUGUAGUCC
rnacentral:rRNA from 1 species